rnacentral:tmRNA from 6 species
GGGGGCGAACGGGUUCGACAGAGCUGGUUCGAUCUUCGGUUGCGAGCCGAGGCGCCGCUGGCCUCGUAAAAAGCGGCAAACAAAGCAACUGCGAACAACAACUUCGCUUACGCGGCCUAAUAGCUGCCGCGCGUCUGGGGUCCGCCGAGCCGGUAGGCAACCUUCAGGCGUAGCCAAAUCCGGAUCGCUUGCGUGAGCUUCGGCUCGGAGCGCGCGUAGGCUAAAACAAUCGAGCUAAGCGCGGGGCAGCCCGCCCCUUGGAGGGCUCCGCGACGAAAACCUAAGUAGGGGAGACGCUCGUGGGAACCGUAGGUACGACAGUUUUGGAAGCGGGUUCAAUUCCCGCCGCCUCCACCA